CGUUAUCGUCCAGCGGUUAGGAU
rnacentral:siRNA from 1 species